CAAGGCGGGGACAAAGUAACCUCAAAGGUGCCCCCUCACAUUCUCACUGCCGGGGUGCCAGAGAAAGAGCAUUAGCAGAGGAUCAAGCAAACUUCUUUCACAGGUCUCCCUGGGAACCAGUUCCCCCACAUUCCUGGCAUUUACAGGCUCAGAAAACAGCGGGGCCUUUCCAGGCACAAACUCAACCCGGUCAGCGGUCAGAUCCAGGCUUAUCUUCACCCCCCACGUUUGUCUCGGCUUCUCUCAAAAGCGGAUGCUGAAUCAUGGAACAGUCACCAAAGGCAAACGUUAGCAGUGCUCGCAGGUUCUCGCCUACCCUGGAAUCGGCUCAGCUCCUGGGUCCACUCGGGUCUGAGGGCCAGGCCUCCGUGGGCGCGUGCAGGACCGAGGUCAUCAGAACAUACACGUGGCUAGUGCAUUUCUUCAGCUGCUUCUCCAGGUCUCCACGCCCAAUCUGAAAGACUUCACUC